rnacentral:rRNA from 1 species
CUCCAAGGACUUGACGGUGUCCCACACAACCUAGAGGAGCCUGUCCCAUAAUCGACACCCCACGUUAGACCUCACCCCCCCUCGCCCACAUUCAGCCUAUAUACCGCCGUCGUCAGCCUACCUUAUGAAAGCAUUAACCGUAAGCAAAAUAGUCCCUCACUAAAACGUCAGGUCAAGGUGUAGCUAAUGGGGGGGAGACGAGAUGGGCUACAUUUUCUAAACUAGAAAAUCACCAACCGCAAUAUGAAACAUUUGCCCUAAAGGAGGAUUUAGCAGUAAAACCAACAAGACAUGCCAGCUUGAACCCAGCCCUGGGACGCGUACACACCGCCCG